GACGAACGCUGGCGGCGUGCUUAACACAUGCCAGUCGAACGGAAAGGCCUUUUCGGAGGUACUCGAGUGGCGAACGGGUGCGUAACACGUGGGUGAUCUGCCCUGCACUCUGGGAUAAGCCUGGGAACCUGGGUCUAAUACCGGUUAGGACUGCACUUUAGUGCGUGUGGUGGCAAGAUUUUUCGGUGUAUGUUGAGUCCGCGAGCUAUCAGCUUGUUGGUGGGGUAAUGGCCUACCAAGGCGGCGACGGGUAGCCGGACUGAGAGGUUGAGCGGCCACAUUGGGACUGAGAUACGGCCCAGACUCCGACGGGAGGCAGCAGUGGGGAAUAUUGCACAAUGGGCGCAAGCCUGAUGCAGCGACGCCGCGUGGGGGAUGACGGCCUUCGGGUUGUAAACUCCUUUCGCCAGGGACGAAGCGUUUUGUGACGGUACCUGGAGAAGAAGCACCGGCUAACUACGUG
rnacentral:rRNA from 1 species